rnacentral:rRNA from 1 species
UACGUAGGGUGCAAGCGUUGUCCGGAAUUAUUGGGCGUAAAGAGCUCGUAGGCGGUCUGUCGCGUCUGCUGUGAAAACCUGGGGCUUAACCCCCGGGCCUGCAGUGGGUACGGGCAGACUAGAGUGUGGUAGGGGGAGACUGGAAUUCCUGGUGUAGCGGUGAAAUGCGCAGAUAUCAGGAGGAACACCGGUGGCGAAGGCGGGUCUCUGGGCCAUAACUGACGCUGAGGAGCGAAAAGCGUGGGGGAGCGAACAGG